GGGCGUACAGCGUGCGCAGGCGGUUUGUUAGACAGAUGUGAAAUCCCCGGGCUUAACCUGGGAACUGCAUUUGUGACUGGCAAGCUAGAGUAUGGCAGAGGGGGGUAGAAUUCCACGUGUAGCAGUGAAAUGCGUAGAGAUGUGGAGGAAUACCGAUGGCGAAGGCAGCCCCCUGGGCCAAUACUGACGCUCAUGCACGAAAGCGUGGGGAGCAAACAGGAUUAGAUACCCUGGUAGUCCACGCCCUAAACGAUGUCAACUAGUUGUUGGGGAUUCAUUUCCUUAGUAACGUAGCUAACGCGUGAAGUUGACCGCCUGGGGAGUACGGUCGCAAGAUUAAAACUCAAAGGAAUUGACGGGGACCCGCACAAGCGGUGGAUGAUGUGGAU
rnacentral:rRNA from 1 species